GACGAACCGAGCAGAACGUUGUUCGGAAUCACUGGGCUUAAAGGGCGCGUAGGCGGGUGCUCAAGUCCGGGGUGAAAUCCCACAGCUCAACUGUGGAAUUGCCUCGGAUACUGGGUGUCUCGAGGGUGGUAGGGGUAUGCGGAACUAUCGGUGGAGCGGUGAAAUGCGUUGAUAUCGAUAGGAACUCCGGUGGCGAAGGCGGCAUACUGGACCACUUCUGACGCUGAGGCGCGAAAGCCAGGGGAGCGAACGGG
rnacentral:rRNA from 1 species